UACUAUACGGCCGAGUCAGAGAACCUCCACGAGUAUCCCCAUCCCAUAGUCGACUACCUCGUCGAACUGGUUCUUCGGGUCAGGUCUCGAGUGAACCUCCUCCUCGAACAGUUCCUCUCCGUCCGGUUGCGAGAAAACGUCCUCGUCGAAGCUUUCUUCUUGCUUCUACUUCGGCGCAUGUUCGUCGUCUAUCGUUGAGAGUGCGUCUCCUUAGUUCGACUUCGUUUCUUUUCGUUCUCACUGCACCGGUUCGAGGUUCUGCUCUAUUCCUUCGAGUGACCACAAGAAUUCCGAUCCGUACUCCUUCUGUUCGACUCGACCCUCGCGUAAGUUCCGCAGAACUUCCGAACCCUACUAGCGUUUCGACGAGCACUUCGAAGUUGAAGAAGACCACAGAUACUGUAUGACCUAAUGAAGAACCAGAUAAAAAGUCUGUUUCCUGGUUCGUUCUUCUUACGACCUCGACCCCAGUUCUGAAGAGCUUGUCCACCGUUAAGAGUACUGAACAUC
rnacentral:rRNA from 1 species